GCUGGGUGCAGUGGUGUGUGCCUGUAGUCCCAGCUACUCAGGAGGCUGAGGGAGGAGGAUUGCUUGAGCCCAGGUGUUUGAGGCUGCAGUGAGUCAUGAUUGCACCACUGCACUCCAGCCUGGGUGACAGAGUGAGACCUUAUCUCUA
rnacentral:sRNA from 1 species